AUCGAACUAGCGCCAUGUAGAGAGUUUGUCUUAGUAACUAACCCAAAAAUAUCUAUUGAAAUUGGAAUUUUCUUUUACACUGUUUGGAUAAGAAAAAUAAUCCUGAGAAUUAACUAAAAGCCGGGAAUUGACGACAAGAAUUUGGAUUUUCCACGUUUGGCUAAUUGGAGGAAAGAAAUCGAUAAUUGCCGAGCUGAAAAAAAAAAACACAGAAAUCGGGGGUCCAAUUCUCCAAGUUCAAAUUCCUCAAAAAUGGUCGUCAUUUCACAGUUCCAAUUUUCUGAGCUCAACAUGAGUUUUAUAAAGCUGCUAUUCGUGCUGUUCCCAAAAGCUUUGUUUUUCUCGAUUUCUUUCUACAACUCCUCGACGGAGGUGCUAAUUAAUGCUCUAUUCACGAUUCGGACGGUGAGAUUGCUUCAUUAGACUGCUCCCUCUGUGUUGUAGUAUGUUGCAAACUUGCUGCAUAACAAAAUUAGGGUUGUGCGGUGGGGGGCUGUAAAUCAUGUGGACUCUGGAAAUCAGGGUUGAGAAGGAGAUAGGAGAGCGGAUGGGUUAUGGGUUUCUGGUUUUUCUGCAAAUUUCACUUUACCGCCAGUUUAUUUGGUGCCUAUGAAUUUCGGGUUUUAUCUCUUUAUAUAUAAAGCUAGCAUGCCAAUUUGGUGUCACUGGCUUCGAAAAAAAAAUUUGGACACAAAUGCUCUCAAAACAAAAAAAAUUCAGAAGAAGUCCAAAAUAAUACAUCAAAUAAUCCAGGAAAAUUUUCGUGAUACAAACAGUAAUUUUUAAAUAAUUAUAAUUUUUUUAUUAUGAUUUAGGGUUAGUAUCUGUUUAGGGUCAUUGGAAUACCCUGGAGCUCAAUUGGGUUCCUUUUCUUCUGCUUCAUUUCCUUUGCUCCGUUUCUAUCGGCUUCCUCUGCCUCUGUUUCUUCUGAUUCUGCUGCUGCUUCUUCUUCCUCUGCUUUAUAUCUUAUAUGUGUGUACGAACAGAUCUCCAAGCAUUUGAGAAACCCACCAAAACUGAGUUUCCACAGUGACCGAGAGAUCUCCAGCCAUGUCUCUGGUGCAAGGCAAAAUAGAUCAAGCUUGCACUGCUUCUCUCUCUGCGUCGAUCGUCUGUCAUCGAUGGCAAAAGAAGUAUAGGCAAAAGCUAAUUGAGCACCUUCUACAAACUGCAGUACUACUACUCUUGCUGAGGUUUUGCAUCAUUUGGAACAUCAGGCCUAUGUCAUUGCUUGACCUAAGCAGGUGGACUUAAAAGACAUCAAGUAUACAGGGAAAUGGUAGGAUUAUCAUUUUAGAGGUAGAGAUCAACUCUUUCACUCAUGUUAAACUUCUAUUGUGGUAUUUUUGUCAUUAAAUUUUGCUGAAAACAUUGUUUAGUAUAAUGUACAAGACUAGCUUGUCAUGGAGCUUAUAAUAAUCUAAUUGACGCCGUAAUCAUAAAAGGGUCUUCCGCACGCGCGUGAAUGAGCGCGUGCAAGGAGGCUAGUAUAUUUCAUAUUUCUCUUGUUUCACUUUCUUUUGCCAUAUAUGGUUUUCACUUUCUUUGUCU